GGGUCAUUAGGUUGGUCGUGCCACCGGUACGUACUGGUCUCACUGAUUCCUCCUUCCUGAAGAACCGUAAUGCCAUUAAUUUGGUGUUGCGGGGAAACAGGACUGUUACUUUGAAAAAAUUAGAGUGUUUAAAGCAAGCUAACGCUUGAAUACAUUGGCAUGGAAUAAUGAAAUAGGACGAUCGAUCCUAUUUUGUUGGUUUCUAGGAUUGACGUA
rnacentral:rRNA from 1 species